rnacentral:tRNA from 1 species
AAUGAAUAGCUAAUAAAGCAUGUUAGUUACAUUAAUAAGAUACUUUAAACUGAAGUUUCAUUUUA